UUUACAGAGUUAUCAUGGCAUGUGGAGAUUUGCAUAACAUUUGAAAAGAACAUUCCAAUGAUUGGGGAUGAUAUACCAGAUAACAUGCAGCAGAAAGUACCUUACCAUGACAUUCAGAAUGGGCUGCGUGUUUAAAAAUUUGCUCCAUAGACAUCUCCUGAAGUUGGUCAUUUCCGUGACAGCUGCAAUGACAUCUGACAAAGAGAAUUCAUUAGUCAUACUUUGACAUAUGUACUAGACUGAACAAAUAAAUGUGCUUAGGAUUAUAUACUUAAUUUAGUAUCAACAAGCGGAAACUUGAAGUUAUUUUUAUAAAUUGAAUAUAGCAAUUGUUAAAUCUAAUAUAACACUGAUGAGUUUUCUGAUAUUUAUUUGUCAACAAACAGGUGCUCCCCAACACUCUCAAUUGUCUCCCUUACAUUCACACAAGACUGGAGGAGUAUUUCCCCUUACAUUAGCAAAAAGAUAAAAAAAGUAUUUUCCCUAUAUUUUGUACAAGAUAACAUUGGUAUUUAUUUUUUUUACAAUGAGUUAUUCUUUAGUUUGAUUAAAAUUAUGUUUGUUAAUUAUAAUACCAAUCACAUGUUGAAAGGCAUUGUCAAAAAAUACUUGACUGCAAAUGAUAAUUUGUAUACACCAAACAUAUGAUGAUAUUAUGUAUUUAUCUUUUUUGUUUUUGUUUUCUUUUAUUAUGAAAAUAAUUUUUUGUAAUACCUGCUACCAUAAUCCACCGUUUGACUUGGCCCUGCAACCACUUUCAAGUAUUGUGCAUGGGAAGGUAUUGCUCUGAAAUUUUUUUGUUUCAUGAAGCGUAUAUGUAAGCGCACAAAUAAUUUUGCUAAUAAAAAUCAAUGAAGCAUUUUAGAUAAUUCUUGGUUAUGCAGUUUUGUAUGAUUUUUUUUUUGCACUUGUUUUUGUAUGAUGUUUUUAAGCAAGAAAUAGAUAAAACUGAACUUGUUCUAUGAUUGUGCAUGUGUUUUCUGUAGUUUGUCUUGAAUAUUACAUUAAUGAGUAUGAACAUUAAAUGCCUAAUCAUAUAUAAAAAAGAUAAAACAGUAGUAUACUGUUUAUCUGCAUUUUUCUUAAAAGAUUAUAAAUAAGUGUCAUACACAGCUGAUAAAGACUCCAACUGACUGAAGCUGGAGUCAAGUGCCACACCUGCAGCACCAGCGAUUGAAGGCGACUCAAUGCCUAUGACGUUCAUGAUCGCCUCUGUCACGAUGUCGAGAUUUUUUUGCAAACAACCUCCUCCUUAAAUCAAAAAAUUCAUUCAAGAAUUUAUGGAUGCGUGGUUAAAGUUAUAUAAUAACAUUUAUGAAUUUAUUCCAAACUUAAAUCAGAGUUUUACUCUUGUAUAAUUUUAAACUUGCUACUAUCAGUGUACGGUAAUGACUUAAUUCAAACAACUGAAUUUUUGAAGGUGUACUGAAACGUCAUUACCAACAGGUUUUUACUUGAAAGCAAAAUUAAACAGUGGCUACAUUGUUAAAAAUGACAUGAUAAGUCUCAAUUUUGUUGAUACAUGUACUUUACAUGAAGAGGACUUUCAUUUUCAAAGUGAUAUAUAAGACAUACAUGUAUAUGAACAAAAUACUGGGUACUCAUUUCAGAGGUAAAGCAUUACAAAGCAUUACACUUUAUAAUAUUCUUUUCCUUGUUAUAUAAAUAUUUUAUUUCUCAUUUUGCAAUAAAUUGAUGACUACCAGUCAGUGCACGGUCUCUCACGUAAUCCGUGUAGAUAAUGCGAUGCUUGGCCACUAGGUUGAGCCACUUUUUUUCAAGCUUGUUAGCUGAUCUCGUCUUGCUUGCUUUGACAUUAUACAGGUCUGACACUCUUGCCCACAUCUUCUUUUUUGUUUGGCUUGUUAUUCCUGUUAUAAAAUAUAUUUAUUUCAUUCAUAAAACAAUUAACAUGCUAUAAGCAUUGAUUGUUUAAAAUGUAGCAAAUAAAUUGGUAUGAAGAUUUU